rnacentral:rRNA from 1 species
GAUGAACGCUGGCGGCGUGCCUAAUACAUGCAAGUCGAGCGAACAGACGAGGAGCUUGCUCCUCUGACGUUAGCGGCGGACGGGUGAGUAACACGUGGAUAACCUACCUAUAAGACUGGGAUAACUUCGGGAAACCGGAGCUAAUACCGGAUAAUAUAUUGAACCGCAUGGUUCAAUAGUGAAAGACGGUUUUGCUGUCACUUAUAGAUGGAUCCGCGCCGCAUUAGCUAGUUGGUAAGGUAACGGCUUACCAAGGCAACGAUGCGUAGCCGACCUGAGAGGGGGAUCGGCCACACUGGACCUGAGACACGGUCCAGACUCCUACGGGAGGCAGCAGUAGGGAAUCUUCCGCAAUGGGCGAAAGCCUGACGGAGCAACGCCGCGUGAGUGAUGAAGGUCUUCGGAUCGUAAAACUCUGUUAUUAGGGAAGAACAAAUGUGUAAGUAACUAUGCACGUCUUGACGGUACCUAAUCAGAAAGCCACGGCUAACUACGUG